GCCCAUGUGGUUUAGUGGUCUGGACACUGGGCUAUGACUCUGGAGACCAGGGUUCAAAUCCCUACUCGGCUA